UACGUAGGGUGCAAGCGUUGUCCGGAAUUAUUGGGCGUAAAGAGCUUGUAGGCGGUCUGUCGCGUCUGCUGUGAAAAUCCGGGGCUCAACCCCGGACUUGCAGUGGGUACGGGCAGACUAGAGUGUGGUAGGGGAGACUGGAAUUCCUGGUGUAGCGGUGAAAUGCGCAGGAUAUCGGGAGGAACACCGGUGGCGAAGGCGGUUCUCUGGGCCUUAC
rnacentral:rRNA from 1 species